rnacentral:tRNA from 1 species
CAAGUUAAAUCUAAGAGAUAACAUUAUUUACAAUAAUGCUAAAGUUCGUGCAAUUCGUUCUGACUUGA